UACGGAGGGGGCUAGCGUUGUUCGGAAUUACUGGGCGUAAAGCGCGCGUAGGCGGCUUUGUAAGUUAGAGGUGAAAGCCCGGAGCUCAACUUCGGAAUUGCCUUUAAGACUGCAUCGCUUGAAUCAUGGAGAGGUCAGUGGAAUUCCGAGUGUAGAGGUGAAAUUCGUAGAUAUCAGGAAGAACACCCGUGGCUAAGGCGGUUCUCUAGUACGGUACUGACGCUGAGACGCGAAAGCGUGGGGAGCGAACAGG
rnacentral:rRNA from 1 species